GGAAGCGUAGCUCAUCUGGUAGAGUGCUUGCCUAGCAUGCAGGAAGCCCUGGGAUAGAUUCCCAGUACACCA
rnacentral:tRNA from 1 species